CAGUAGCCGCGGUAAUACGGAAGGUCCAGGCGUUAUCCGGAUUUAUUGGGUUUAAAGGGAGCGUAGGCUGGAGAUUAAGAGUGUUGUGAAAUGUAGACGCUCAACGUCUGACUUGCAGCGCAUACUGGUUUCCUUGAGUACGCACAACGUUGGCGGAAUUCGUCGUGUAGCGGUGAAAUGCUUAGAUAUGACGAAGAACUCCGAUUGCGAAGGCAGCUGACGGGAGCGCAACUGACGCUUAAGCUCGAAGGUGCGGGUAUCAAACAGGAUUAGAUACCCCAGUAGUCCCUGUCUCUUAUAA
rnacentral:rRNA from 1 species